rnacentral:lncRNA from 1 species
AGCGGGGCCGGUGCGCGAGCCAGUUUGUAAGCGUUUCUCCUCCGUCUCCAUCCAUUAGGGUUAGCUGCUCCUCCUGCGCCGCUUUACUGGCCCGGAACAGGAGCGUGUCCUGCGGGUCGGUGCUGCAUAUCAGCCCUGGGGGCGACGGGGGUCUGCGCGGCUGCUCUGCGACCUCUCACCGCAGGAAGGUGCUCGGCUGGGAGGAGGAGGAGGAGGAGUCGCGCUUUCAGAGCUGCAGGGGAAGCAUGUAGCUCAGCAGCUCGAGCAUCCGCGAGCCCGGCCACGGUAGCGCUGUAUUAGCAGCAGCCAGUUAGAUGAAGCUGGUUCUCUGCGCUAGCGAGACAUUUUAGCUUCAGAGACAGAGGGGUUAUCAGCACGCGACCUGCCUGCCUGCUGCAGCCUGCAUGUGAUGCAUGUGCUGCUGCUGUGUGUGUAGUGGCUCUGGAAGCUGUGGAAGCUACGUGACCUGCGCUUCUGAGCUAUGCUUUCCUCCUCUGGGAUUAUCGCGAUGAUAGCAGGGCAUCCACAACCAUCACAGAGCGAUUUCUAAUUAGGAGAAGCCAACCAGAUGCAACACGUUGCUGCUGCUGCUGGCUGACGAGCAGGACCACCAGAACCUCGGGGUGUCUUUCAGCCGCAGACUUUAUUCAGGACUCAGGAGUACAGCCCCAGCCUAUGGCAUGGCUGGUGGCACUACAGCCGUACACGGUGCUGGGCAGCCAAACAGAUGGCCAGAGAAACAAGCAGGAUCAGAUUUGAAGUCUCAGUCAGUCAGUGUGUGUUUGUGUGUGAGAGACAGAGAGUGUACAUACGUGUUUGUGUGAGAGAUAUAAUUGUCUGAGGUGUGCUGGUUCAGUGCUGUGCUUAUUUUGAAAGUUUUCAGAUUGCCACAGGAGAUCUGCUGCAUUUAAAAUGCAAUUCUUCAAAUAACCAUGUCCAUCUCUUUUAAUUAGAGCAGAAGCACAGGAGGAGAGAGCAUGAGGGAGCACAUGGAGAGACAGCGAGACAGAUAUAAGGAAAUGAGAUUAUUAGAUUUCCCUCCCGGUGGACCUGGGGGUGGGGCUUAAAAUGACCAGAGCAGACUGACCUCUCUGUUCUCUUAUUACUGUUUCAGAAGUUUAGGUGUUUGUGAUAACUUGGUCAAUAUGGCUCUGCCAAGAUAAAACUGAAGCCAUAUGAGAUUUUAACCCUUCAGUUACGGCUGUGCAGUUAAUCAGAAAUGAAUCAAAAAUGACU